UACGUAGGGUGCGAGCGUUAAUCGGAAUUACUGGGCGUAAAGCGUGCGCAGGCGGUUCGUUGUGUCGGCGGUGAAAGCCCCGGGCUUAACCUGGGAAUGGCCGUUGAAACUGGCGAACUGGAGUGUGGCAGAGGGGGGUGGAAUUCCGCGUGUAGCAGUGAAAUGCGUAGAGAUGCGGAGGAACACCGAUGGCGAAGGCAGCCCCCUGGGCUAACACUGACGCUCAGGCACGAAAGCGUGGGGGGCAAACAGG
rnacentral:rRNA from 1 species